AUGUUUUCUGUUAUGAAUGAAAUGACCCAUUGAAACAUGUUUUUAACUUAUUAAGAAAUGUUGGUUGUCACAGCUGUUAGUAAUAAUGACUGGAUUAGA